rnacentral:lncRNA from 1 species
AGAGAAAAGGAGGGAGGCAUGGACGGCGAUGAGGUUCCGUCGUCUGUGAUAGAGAGUGAGAAGAGAAAAGAAAGCAUGGACAGCAAUGGGGUUCCACCGUCCAUGAUAAAGGAGAGAGAAAAUAUGGAUGGCGAUGAGGUUCUGUAGUCCAUGACAAAAGAAAGAGAAAGUAGAAGAAAACAUGGAUGGCGAUGAGGUUUUACCAUCCAUGACAGAGGAGAGAGAAAUG